AAGGAAUUUAUCCCUUGACCGAAAAUAGAAAAGGUUUCGUCCGAAAAAUGUUGAUACGUAUGCAGAUUCCCGUCGGCUAUAGCAAAAAUUAUCCCCCUCGGACUAGUCGGUGCCUGAACGCUCUUCUGCCAUGGAUUCCAUCGUCGCACCCAACAAACUGCAGAUUACCGUCCGAUUCUGUAAGCCCUACACCCAAAAAUGUGACAAAAAGAUGGAUGGAGAUGAAGGUUUGAGAACUGUGGAGUGUUUAAGAGGCUAAUUGAUUGCUGAAAGAGCAGAUUCCAAGGCUACUAACGAUGAAUCUGAACAAACUGACAAAAGGUGAAUAAGAUUAUAUUUGCAAGUAUUCAACUAUAUAUUACCACAGUUUCAGGAAGUAUUGAAGACUGGACAGUGAGAAAAAAGCCAACACAAGUAUGAAAUUACAGUAUCUGGGCUUUUAAUCGACCACCUAAACCUAUCAGGUGUGGCAAACCUAUUUGCUUUCCAUACGUUUGGAUUUUAGAAAAUCCAUUUAUGAUAUCGUGUGAUUGUGCUACAUGAGCUUGAUUUAUGGUGUCCAGGUGUUUGAUGGAAUGCUCCUAUGAAUCUUCAAAAUUACCUGAAAAGCCAGGUAAAAUCAAAACUUCUAUUAAAAAAUUCGGGGUAUUUUUGAUAUUUCGGAAAUGAAACAACAAUUUCUUAGAAGCAUCUUCCUGAGUUACAUGCUGCAUAGCAAAAGGUAUGACAAAUGACAACAAUUUCUCUUAAGGGUAUUUGAGUCAUUUCCACAUAUUCACCAUUGUGUCAUAGAAACUCCAUUUCCACACAGAAAAAAGAUAUGGAAACUGCUAUAAAAGUAAUUUCUUGAAGGGUAUUUUAGACCUUUCAAAUUAAGACAAAUUCUUGAAGAGUAAUUUUAGACAUUUCAGCUGAAAAAAACAAUAUCUUGAAGGGCAUUUUAGACAUUCCACAUAUUAAUUCACCUUUGUAUCAUCAGAAACACCAUUUUUACAAAGAAAAAGUUAUGGAAACUGCUAUAAUUUUUUUUCUUGAAAAGGGUAUUUUACACAUUCCACAUAUUAGUUCACCUAUGUAUCAUCAGAAACUCCAUUUUCACCAAGAAAAAGUUAUGGAGACCGCUAUAAUUUUUUUUUCUUGAAAAGUUUUAUUUAGACAUUUCAAAUCACAAAACAAUUUCUUGAAGGAUAUUUUAGAUAUUCAACAUAUUCACCUUUUUAUCAUCAAAAAUUCCAUUUCCACAAACAAAAAGUUACGGAAACUGCUAUAAAAAUAAUUUGUUGAAAAGGGUGUUUUAGACAUUUCAAAUCACAAAACAAUUUCCUGAAGGCUAUUUUAGGCAUUUCCAGAUAUUCACCUUUGUAUGUUUAGAAACUCCAUCUCCAACUGCACCAAAUCAUAACCUUGCUACCAUGUUGACUUGACCAAGAAGUCUAUUUCAUCAUCUUCAACAUCCAAACUUUCAAGUUCACCAAAACCAUAAAAGGAGUUACAUAAAGUCUUUACAACAGUCCCAUGAACCAAUAACAAAACAACAAGAAUAGAAAAAAAAAAGUUGAUUUUACCCAUGCUUUAAAAGGUUUUGUUAGUUUGAGAAUACGAUCAUCAAAUGUAAAAUAUGGUGUGUUAAAUAAAAUAGUAAAAGCAAAUUCUACUUUUUAGCGGUUAGCUUUAAAUUUUGGUGUUGAUCAAAUUAACAUUUUUUUAUUUUAUUUUUUUUGUAUUUUCUUUAAAUUUUAUAGACAAGUUAAUGUUUUUGGUUUGAUUUCCAAUACAUAUCUCACUAAAAUAAAUUUAAAUUUAAAUAUGCACUAUUACUUAAAUAAUAAUCAUAUAGUUGCUCAUGUGGAGGAAGACGAAUUGUAGAGGAGGUAGCCAAUAGUAAGAUUAUCAUUUUCAAUAGUAAAUCUCAGCAGCUGAAAUUUGGUUAAGAAGGACAUGUUCUAUGAACUUGUAAUUAUGCUUAAAAAUUGUUAAUUAAUCAUGGCCAAACUGGUUUUUAACAUUUGGGAUUUAUUUUUAAAUCUCUACACCAUUGGAAGCUCCAUUUUUUAAGAAUCUCCAGGAUUGUUGAUUACAAACUUAAUGAUAACAACCAUAGUCCAUUAUGGCCAAUUUUCGGUUCGAUUUUCUGCAAUCAUUUUAACCUGAAUCAAGAACUGGUACUCAUAUUUCUAUCUAUGUUGUUUUAUUGUUUAAUAUGUCAUAACGCUCGCUAAUUUCAUGUACAUUUGAGUUUUUAGAUGACAUUCUUAUUUCAUUUUAUAGGCUCUUGGUUUGAUUUUGUCAAUUUCUUGGAAGCAACAAACAAGAAUGGGAAAAUGAAGUUGAGAUAAUCAAAACUACUACCAGUGUGAGGCUAGAAGUGUAAUUAUAGUCAGUCUUACAUUAUUUAUAGUUUGGAAAGCUUCUUGAUUUAAUACAAGGAUCGGAAAAUAGAUUUAAUUAUGUUGGUCUAUUUCAGUUUAUUUAUAUCUAGGACAGUAGAAAGAUGAUUUAAUACCAAAAUGUUUGGAGUAAGCAAUAUAAAAGAUGUUGCUAAAUUUAUGUCGUCUCUUUCUGUAUUUUGCCUUAUAAAAUAUAUAUUGAAACCAGACCACCAUUUAACUAUAUUUCUAAUUUACUUAAAUAUUUGUUUAUAAACCUUUCAAACUACAAUGCCUUGAUAGGAAAAAAAGGUAUAAGUACAAUCUUGGUUAUAACACAAUGUCAAAAAAUUAAAAGAAAUAUGUCAACAUAAUUUGGAACUCUUUUUCUUUCUGAUUUUGGCUGAUUACACUUUCUUUAUCUUGUGUGUGAUGUGUGCUUUCAGGUUGUGUGUGUGAGUGUGCCAAUUGUUGUUUCUUUGCUACUACCAUAUUAGACACCCCGACUGUUUAAUAUAAUACCUGAAAGAAGGUAUCAAUCAAAAGAGUGGUUCCCUCCUUCAACCUAAAGGUUAAAGUAGAAGAAAUAGUUGCAAUCGUCAAUGGCUUCAAUGAACCUGGUUCAAUUGUGGGACGAAAUUGGCUUUUGUAACGUGUAGAUUUUUUUGAUGCAUCAACAUAACAUAUGUCAUUCAAUGGAUUCAAAAAACAUUUUGCUAUGAUAUACUAGCCAUUCAAAUCCAUGCCAAUGGUGCGGGUGACCUUCAUCUAAUUUUAUGUUAAUUGAAGCUAUUCCCUAAA